UAAAUCAUUCAAACAAUCAAAACGUGUUUUGAUGUCAAAUUGUAAAACUAGAAAUUUAAAGAUCUCAUCACAUGGUAUAUUGAUCUCCUAGUACAUGUAAAUCUAGCCUAACAUGGAAAUAAUAUCGAAAUACAUCAUAUAUUGAAGAGGAAGCAUCACCGGGUUAUGAAUUUUUGAUAAAUCUUCUUGAUCUUCGUGCAAUCCUUCGUUAAUUUCGCUCAAAAUUCUCUCCAAGAUGUGAUUUCUUGUCUCCCAAUGCGUUCUCCCCGUUUUUGGACGUCCUUAGGGUUUUAAAAGACUCCCAAGAUUUGUUUCCAUAAGAGUUUUAAUUAGAAAAAGAAACCAGAAUUUUUUUGCCGCGAUUGCCCGGCUUUUAUAACUAGGCUGUCGCCCAGGCAAAAUUUCUUCCAUAUGUUACAUUUUAGUCCCCGAAAUCGAUUUUUGAUUCUUUUAAACCCUUUCUCUUGCAUUAAGAAAUUGAAGAAAAUAUGAUACUGGCUGCAGUCCACCGAAAACGAUGGAACUAUCUAUCUUUUUUCAUUUUUCUCCUAAAAAGAUGAACAUAAAGGGUGAAGUUGGUCAAGGCCCACCUCAAAUAAUUCCUUCUUGAGCAUUAAUGUAUUCUAACCCCACAUUAGGUGCAACUACCUUUUUUUUUAAUCCUUUCUUUCUACUUCAUUAAGAUCGAGUAUGAAAGGUAUGAAAGGAAAUAACAUUAUUGGACUUUCCACUAUUUGUCGUAAUUAUUGAUUACAGCAACACAAACAGGGCACGUUUUGUAUACAAUAUUACUCAAGUCUGCUUUUUUAACUUCGUUUCUUUUUUUUUCAUAUUUAUUAUUGUCUAACAUUUUACCACCACCUUAUGAACGAGCAAUAUGGUUGCACUGUAAUAGUGAAAAACCCUUCCUUGCUUAUUCAGGUCCAGUGUCCUUUCAACACAGCAAAUUGCAUUAUGGUCCAAUUGAUAACAAGUAGUAGCAAAGGGAUAAGUGAAGAGAGGAAAGGAAUCAACCAUGCAAAGUUUUUUAUUAUUAUUAUUUUUUAAUUUUUCCCACAUAAUAAGAUCCAACAAAGCCAAUGCAAUGACACAUUUUUGUGCUCUGAGGGGGUCCCUACCACAAUUUUUUUUAGAAAUUUGAAGAUCUAGGAGGAUUUGGAACCAUAUUUCGUUAUUGGGACCAUGACAUUCUAGUUAUGGGAAAUAAGUUUGGUGUUCAAGAUGAUAUUCAUUAACAAGGAAGGAAAAAUAAAAUCUUGGCGUUAUAUUUUAUUUCCUUAUUUGAGAAAAUAAAUAGACAUGGAAUAAGAAAUAGAGAGGUUGUCACGUGAAAGUAUCUUACUCUGUUUUUCAGCUUUUCCAAUUAUAUUAUGUGAGUGAUAGGUAUUUGGAAGAAAGAUUUGACGAGUUUAGGAUGCAGUCAAAGAAAAAUAUAACAAAAGGAUUAUGUGUCUCCUUAUAUGUAGUGGGCGAACUGAAGGUAAUUAGAAAUAAGAGUACCAUGGAAAGAUAAUAAGUUAUAAAUGCCCUGACUAUAAUGAUAUGGGAUUACACAACUUAUGGUAAUACGGUUUGCCUUAUUUUUUAUCAAUGAAUUUCGAAAUUAGCAUGCACAAUCAUAAGUGAUUACUUAUGGCCAUUUUUGUUAAUUUUGGGGUAAAGUUAAUUUGCUUGGCUAUGUUAGAUAAACUCAAUUAAAAGACAAAAUGAAAGUCAGUAAUGAUAAGGGAUUUGAUUAUCUAUUAGGACUAAAAAGUUUGGUUUUGGGAAGAUGUCAUUCUUAUGUGCUCUAGAUGAUGCAGAUAGUGGACAGAGAACUUUAAAUGAUGGACAUUUUUGCGACAUUAUGCUGGUUGGAAUUUAUUGAGAUUGGAAAGUUAACAUUUGAAAUCUUGGUGGUAUACUGAUGUGUGAAAGUUUACGUGAUAAAUAUGAAGAUUACUAUUCUAUGAUCUUAAGGAAAAUUGAUAUAAAUGUUUUAGGUCAUUCGAGAUAAUGAUAAAUGAUAAAGUUACAUGAUCAUGACAUGAUAUGGUAAAUAGCGUGUAAAUGAAUGUGAUGGUUGUCCUAUAGCAAAAUAAUGUGAUGAUAUAUUUUGGUUAUUAAGUUAAUUAAUUUUGUUAAGGCCAUUUGUUGAUUAUUUUGUUAUGUUAUAUAUAAUUUGGAAGUUUCGAGCUAAUUUUGGAAGUUAAGGUGAAUUUAUUAAAAUUUUAGUGAUGAAUUUUUGGGUCAUUUUCGAUCGUAUUUUCUUGAAUCUCACAAAUAAAGUAUUCCAUUCUUUUCAAAAUUUGUAUGUUAUGGAAUAUAUAUAUGGAUGAUAUGUUGGAUAGUCUAAGGUUUAAGAUGAUCAUCAAAUGUAAAUUUUACUCGAUCAUGGAAUGGCCUUUGGGUACAUUAUCUAAAUUAAAGGUCUUUAUGUGAUAUAUUAAAAAAAUAAAAAAAUAAAACUUAUGUAUUGGUAAUAGGUUAAUGGCCUCUUUAGGGAAUAAGAGUAUAGAAUUAUCAUGAAUUAAAUGUUAUUAUUAUCUCUUCAAAGAAAGAAAGAGCACUGAGACUGUGUGGGUUUAGUAAUGUAAAAAGUUUUGUUAUCAGAUUAAAUUCCAAGGAAAAAAUUGCUCUUGUAUUUAAAGUUGAUGAGGGUUUUAUUUAUGAUAAUGAGUUAGGUUAGAGUUUAGAAAUUGUUCUGAAAUAAAAUGAUUAAUCAUGGAUUAUGAUGUAUGAAUGCUAAAGAGACAUGAUUAAAACACGAUUUAGAGUCGAUGAUAUUAGGUUUGAAUUUAUUGUGGUGUUAUCACAUUACGAGAAAUCGAUAAUUAUCGAUCACUAGAGUUUAAGGUAUAUUUGUAUUUGAAAGGGUUAGAAAUUGAAUGUGUGUAUACAUAUCAUUAAGUGAUAUAGAAUUACAGGAAAAGAAUAUCAUAUUGAACUGUCUCAAUUGUUGUUGGGAAUAACUAGAAUUUUCGAAAAUCAUGAACAAUUAAAUUUUUGCAGAUAAUGUUAAUUUAGAAUGGAAGCAGUUACCCUCAAAUAUUUUUCAUUUGGAUUUACUAGUACAUAGAAUGGAGAGAAAAUAGUAUUUGGAUCAUUGUUGAUAGAUCGACAAAAGGUUACAAGAUUAUUUUCAAAUGAUAUAAUCAGUUUGUGAGACAGAAUUAUAAAAUUAUAUUUAGAUUAAAUUGUAAUUUAUAUGGUGAAGAUUGAGUAUCUAUUUUUGGCUUAGUUGUAGGGAUAAAUUACAUUGUGCAACUUCUUUUAGUAGAAUGUCAGACAUUAUGAAGAGAAUUCAAAAGAGAGGUUAUCAACUAUGAUUUGUUAAUUAAAGGGGGCCUUGGAUAAUCAUUUAUUUACAUGGAGUUGAUAUAUAAGAACUAAAUACAAGUGACGAUAUUUGAGGUUAUAAAUAGAUAUCGAAAUAGGAUACUUACAGCAAUGAAAUUAGCAAAACAAAGUUAUUCACUCUUAAUCUGUAACCAUUGUUGUAGAACAAGGAUUUGAUUAAAGAAUAGUUCAAAUCAUGAUAUAAGAUGAAGUUUUGAAGAAUAUGAAAAGUAGUAUCUUCAAAUUCGAAUUGGGAAAUAGCUGAAUUUUUCUAAGAUUUGGUAAAAUGAAGAGAAUAUCAUAUGUUGGUCUUUGAGAUAUUAUUUUAAACUUGGGUCCAAUUGUUCAAGGAUUGUGUUUAUAAUAAGUUUAUCUGGUAUUUAAGAAUGUAUUGUUUAUUUCUACGGCUAGUAAGUGGAUGUCAGAAAUGUCAGAUUUAUCGUAUGCUUUCAAAUUAUUAGUGAAGUUGAAGAGAACUUAAUUUAGAAAAAUCUAAGGUGUAAGAUAUGAAAGAAUGAAAAUGUGUUUGGUGAAAUGUUACUAGAGAAAUCAUUCAAUAUAAUUACGGCAAGUGAAGAUCAAUUGCGUGCUUUAUAUCUUUACAUGUUCGAAUCUUAGCUAAUUGAAUUUUGAGGAUGAGAUAGUGAGCUUAUAUAGUACUCCAUUAUCUAUGGAAUCUGAUAAGAUCCUCGCUUUACAUUUAAAUUUUGGCCUAGUAUGGAGGAAGCCAUAAGUACUAAACUACAGUUCAAUGCAGCUUUUCAUUCUCAAAUAGAUGGCCAGUCAAAGAGGAUCAUACAUAUUCUUGAGAGUAUAUUAAGAAUGUGUGUUUUAGAGUUCUAAGGUAGCUGGAAUGCUCAAUUGUUGUAGAUGGAGUUGCUUACAAUAAUAGUUACCACUCCAAUAUAGAAAUGUCUUCUUUUGAAGUUUGGUGUGAAGUGUAGAACACCAGUUUGCUAGGAUGAAACUGAUAAGGAAAAAUAGGCCCUGGAUUGGUUCAGAUAACUUCAGAAAAUAUGAAAUUGAUCAAAGAAAAUUUGAAAGCAACGCAGGAUAGACAGAAAAGUUAUGCAAAUAGACACAAGAAGAUCUUGAAUUUGCGGUUAGAGAUAAAGUUUUUCUAAAAUUGUCACCUUGGAAAGGGAUUUUGAGAUUUGGUAAACAAGAAAUGUUGAGUCCAUAAUACAUUGGGUCAUAUGAGAUUAUUGGAUUGAUAGGUCCAGUUGCGUAUCGAUUAGAUUUGCCAGCUGAAUUAUCCAGGAUCAAUGAUGUUCUUCAUGUUUCCAUGCUUUGUAAUUACAUUGUAGAUCAUUCUCAUGUUCUGGAAUCUCAACCAGUUCAGUUGAAAGAGAAUUUAACUUGUAUAGUAGAACCAAUGAGAAUUCUAGAUAGAAAGAUGCAAAUUCAGUGAAACAAGACAAUUUCAUUUAUAAAGGUACUCAGAAGAAUCAUGCGGUAGAAGAGGCACAUGGGAGAAUGAGGAUCAAAUGUGUGCUCAAUAUCCUCAUCUAUUCAUUAUCUAGUAAGUUUUUAGUUGAAUUUCGAGAACGAAAUUCUUUUAAGGAGGUAAGAUUAUUACAACCCAUUUUAUCUAAUCAAAACUCAAUAGUUGAAUUUUCAAAGUCAAAGUCCAAUGAGAACAUUAAUGAAGUAAAUUAUUUUUUUGGGGUUAUUUUAAAAAUUGAAAAUAUUUUGAGGGCUAAGAUGGAUAAAUUUUAAAGUUAUGGAUUUACUUUUCUAAUAUUGAAAGAUAAGGGCUUAAGGAAGUGCAUAUGAAAUUAGAGGGACUUUCUUUGCAAAUUUAGGUUAGUGGCUCAUUUUAAAACCAAUUAAAACCUAAUUACCUAUUUCUUUUUUCACCCAAUUACAUACACACGAAGCUGGGAACGAGCUGGAGCAAAAAUAGAGAAAAAUCGGCAGAAAGAAGAAAGAAAAAGAAGAAAGAAAAGGAAGAAGAAAGAAAAGGAAAAAGGAGGGAAGAAAAGUUUGUUCCAUUGUUCAAUUUCUUCAAAAGAGAUUUAAGAAAAGAGUAUGAUGUCAAGCCGAUAUUUUUGAUUUGUGAAGAUUUGUUUAUAUCAAGGUAUUGAAGUGGAAGUUUGGAGAUGCCCGUCAAUUUAGCCAAGAUUUUUAUCCAUAGAGUAGUGAGUGGAAAUAAAACUUAUUUUUCAGAAAUAAUAUUUAUUGAAUUUUGAAGUUACAUAUUUUUAAGUUGAG